AGGUUUCAUGUCCUUCAUGGAGAGGUACGAAUGAAGCCGGGCAAGGUAACAAAAAUAAUUCUGGCAUGUGUAGUAUUGCACAAUCUCGCUAAGGCAUGGGGUGAGAGGGAGGCAUUCCCAGAGGAAGAAGACCCUCAACCUCCACCACUUGUCCAGCUUGAGGGUAACCCUGACGGGCAGGCUAUCAGGGAUGCAAUAACUGCAAACUAUUUCAGAUGAAGACGGACGGACAUUACAAGGCACCAUGGGUGACUUGAUCUAUGUAUGGCGUAAUAGUAUUCAGACUGAUGUACGGACAUAGACAAAACAAGUCUUAAAAAUGUGUGUUCAUUUACAUCUGAUAAAGACAAAACAAGUCUAUAAAAUGUGUGUUCAUUUACAUCUGAUAAAGACAAAACAAGUCUAUAAAAUGUGUGUUCAUUUACAUCUGAAAAAGACAAAACAAGUCUUUAAAAUGUGUGUUCAUAAAUAUAUAGUUUAAUAAUUUUGAA